rnacentral:rRNA from 1 species
GUCGAGCGGAAACGAUCCUAGCUUGCUAGGAGGCGUCGAGCGGCGGACGGGUGAGUAAUGCAUAGGAAUCUGCCCGGUAGUGGGGGAUAACUUGAGGAAACUCAAGCUAAUACCGCAUACGCCCUACGGGGGAAAGCAGGGGCUCUUCGGACCUUGCGCUAUCGGAUGAGCUUAUGUCGGAUUAGCUGGUUGGUGAGGUAACGGCUCACCAAGGCGACGAUCCGUAGCUGGUCUGAGAGGAUGAUCAGCCACAUCGGGACUGAGACACGGCCCGAACUCCUACGGGAGGCAGCAGUGGGGAAUAUUGGACAAUGGGGGCAACCCUGAUCCAGCCAUGCCGCGUGUGUGAAGAAGGCCCUCGGGUUGUAAAGCACUUUCAGCGAGGAAGAAUGCUUGUCGGUUAAUACCCGGCAAGGGAGACAUCACUCGCAGAAGAAGCACCGGCUAACUCCGUGCCAGCAGCCGCGGUAAUACGGAGGGUGCGAGCGUUAAUCGGAAUUACUGGGCGUAAAGCGUGCGUAGGCGGCUUGAUAAGCCGGUUGUGAAAGCCCCGGGCUCAACCUGGGAACGGCAUCCGGAACUGUUAGGCUAGAGUGCAGGAGAGGAAGGUAGAAUUCCCGGUGUAGCGGUGAAAUGCGUAGAGAUCGGGAGGAAUACCAGUGGCGAAGGCGGCCUUUCUGGACUGACACUGACGCUGAGGUACGAAAGCGUGGGUAGCAAACAGGAUUAGAUACCCUGGUAGUCCACGCCGUAAACGAUGUCGACUAGCCGUUGGGGUCCUCGAGACCUUUGUGGCGCANUUAACGCACUAAGUCGACCGCCUGGGGAGUACGGCCGCAAGGUUAAAACUCAAAUGAAUUGACGGGGGCCNGCACAAGCGGUGGAGCNUGUGGNUUUANUUCGAUG